UUCCUGGAGCGUACGUGCAAGCCUGGGGAUAACGCUGCCACCACCCAGGGUCUGGACUGAUUUUGGCCCUGUGCCCCUGGGAAACAUAGGCCUAGUAGUUCUUGAGGGUACUUCAGCCACUGCAAGAACUUGGGAUGUUUCCCUUAGUUUGAACUGUAAUU